rnacentral:tmRNA from 1 species
GGGGUCGACUGGUUUUGACAGCGAGAUUCAUGAUAAUGUAAGCAAGUCGAGCGCUGGAUUAUAGCUCGUAAAUAUCAUAAUACCAAAAUUUAAAUGGCGAAAAUAAAUACGCUCUUGCUGCUUAAUAAACUGAAUUACAGUAGGUUUUAGCCUAGUCCUGCAAGGCAGGAAAGCGAGAUGUCUUGAAGAAGCCCUUGUUGACGGCAUCUUUUAAAAAGGCACCAUCAAAGUCAACAAGAAGCAUAAGAAUCUUCGGCUUAUGCUUGAACUUUAGAAGAUAAGUUUAAUGUGGGCAGUUUUCGGUCAGCAUUAUAUCGAAAAUCAAAUGAAAACUAAACUUGAAGAAAGCAAUUGACUGACUUGUUUGGACGAGGGUUCGAUUCCCUCCGACUCCACUU